CUACGGGAGGCAGCAGUGAGGAAUAUUGCACAAUGGGGGAAACCCUGAUGCAGCAACGCCGCGUGGAGGAUGAAGGUUCUAGGAUUGUAAACUCCUUUUCUGAGGGAAGAGCAAGGACGGUACCUCAGGAAUAAGUCACGGCUAACUACGUGCCAGCAGCCGCGGUAACACGUAGGUGGCAAGCGUUAUCCGGAUUUAUUGGGCGUAAAGCGCACGCAGGCGGUUGAUUAAGUUUGGCGUGAAAUCUCUCGGCUCAACCGGGAGGGGUCGUUGAAAACUGAUCAGCUUGAGGCAAUGAGGGGGAUGCAGAAUUCCUGGUGUAGUGGUGGAAUGCGUAGAUAUCAGGAGGAAUACCAGUGGCGAAAGCGGCAUCCUGGCAUUGUACUGACGCUGAGGUGCGAAAGCGUGGGUAGCAAACAGGAUUAGAAACCCGAGUAGUUC
rnacentral:rRNA from 1 species